rnacentral:lncRNA from 1 species
ACCCAGGAGGGGUCUGUGUCCUGUGUUUCUCGUGGCCCCGCCAACCCAGGAAGAGUGGUCUUUAAGAGCGUGUUGGAUUCUGUGGGACUCGGAAGAGGUGCCUGAACUUCCCUGUGCUUUUGAAGUCAAGGGACUCCUCCCAGUGAUUAGGAGCAGUGGAACCGUCCGGAUCCUGCCCUUGGUCCAUGCCUUUGGCCUUUGGUCAUGUAGUGGCGGCCCUUUGGGCUCUGCCAUUUGUGUUUCAGAUCAUCAGUUCUGCUAUGUGAAUGGGCAGGACUCUCCAUCGCCUUGGCAAGACAAGGUGCUCCUCGUCCAGGAAGUGUUAGGAGUCCUAGGAGCCAGCUCCUCCCAUGGGAUGUGGGCUCCCGAUGGAGGACAGAGUCUCUUCAGGGCCCUCCUGGGCUACUGAAAUGGUCCAAGAAAACCCUUCAAGUUGACUUCCCUUCUCUAAUAUUCAAUUUUCUUGUCCAUCCAGUGGAAGAGUUGGAGUUGAUACUUGAUCCAUUUCAGCUCUAACUUACUAAAGUCUGUGAUGGCUCUGGACCUUCAUGUUUCAGGACCAGGCCUGGUCCUUCUCAGCUCUCACACUGAAGCCUCAGAACCAGCCUCACUUGGAGGGUGGUCUUCAGCUCCCAGCCAAAAGCCUCGCUUGAACCUCCUCACACUUCAAAGACAAGGAUGGUACCCGCAUGCCACUCAGCCCUUGGAAGGGAGAAACAGUUUGGCAAAGGCCACAGAAUGGACCUCGUCUCCUUACACCGAGCCCAGGGCUCCAUUCAGCAGCCACCUUUCCACCCCCACCCCCAUCUCCUCCCCUCACCCCGAUAUGCAUCUACAUGGCUGCAAACAAGAGCAGCCAAGUGUAGGACCUCCACCCACUGCCAUCAGCAGACACUCAAGUGGACAGGCUGGACUGGAGAACAAGAACAAGAAAGAGAGUUCAGAAGAAGGUCACCAGAGGCUUGAAACGGAUUGACCAAACUUGACAGUGGGACCACGACUCAUAAAAGGGUGUUGUGAAGCCAGAUCAACUCAAUGACCCCCAAAGAAACUGCGGACUUCAAGAAACUUGCGUGACUUCAGCUUCAGAAAUACUCUUCCAUGGUGUAGAAAACACACCGCCCCCAAUACCCUGCCCACAGUGGGAUUCCUUAUUCUGUCCUUCUCGUGCCAGAAGAACGACCUCCAGUGCUUCUACCCUUUAAACACUUUUGCCAGAAACCCGAAUUCAUGAAAAGCGUGUUUAUCGCUUCACAGUUUUACGCAUUUUGUUAAAUGUGAAAGUCAGAACAAAGCAUCAAAAUACGUCUAUAGAGCUCCUGUCGUGGCUCAGGGGUUAAUGAAUCCACCUAGGAACCAUGAGGUUGCAGGUUCGAUCCCUGGCCUCGCUCAGUGGGUUAAGGAUCCAGUGUUGCCGUGAGCUGUGGUGUAGGUCCCAGAUGCGGCUCAGAUCUGGCGUUGCUGUGGCUCUGAUGUAGACCGGUGGCUACAGCUCCGAUUCAACCCCUAGCCAGGGAACCUCCAUAUGCCACAGGUGCUGCUGCCCUAGAAAGACCAAAAAAAAAAGUGUAUAACAUUAAUGAAUACUUUUGUACUAUUAGCCCUCACCUUGAAACAUCGUUAGAAAUUUUCGUCUUUGUUUUUAACCAGAAAGAAGAGCUGAGAGAUUCUGUUUGGGUUCUGAUUACUGUUCAUCACAAAUGUGAUAAUGAGGAUGACCUCCAUUAAGAUGGGUCUCAUCUGACUGAUGGGUGAGGGAUGUUGAGAGGAGGCUGGACCUGGAGCAGAAGGUGGGGGGUGGGGAGAAGGGCAUGAGAUGCUGCGAGCCAGCCACAUCGCAUGGCUACUCAACCAGCCCCUCUGCCUCCCAACAGCUGGAGUUAAUAUUUAAUGAAGAUUUUUAUAUGAUAACAUGUAAAUUCAGAGUUGCAAAAUUUUCUUUAACCCUGAAUUAGAAUAUGCUACUGGUAUUUCUCAAGACCUGCCAGGAACAGGCAUUCCACCUGUUAAUGUGAAUUACGACCAUCUGAGUUGUCCCUGUGUAUAGGAGAGUAGGGUCUCUAAAUAGAGCUGAGAGGGCCUAAGACACAGCCCACGCUGCUAUCCCACUCCACCAAUGCAGCCCUUGCCUCAGCUGCCUCAAGGGCUUUUUUUUGUUUGUUUGUUUGUUCGUUUUUUGGUUUUUUUGCUUUUUAGGGCUGCACCUGUGGCAUAUGGAGGCUCCCAGGCUAGGGGGUCAAACUGNUAUCCCACUCCACCAAUGCAGCCCUUGCCUCAGCUGCCUCGUUAAAUAUCCUCAAUGGCUUUUGUUUGUUUGUUUGUUCGUUUUUUGGUUUUUUUGCUUUUUAGGGCUGCACCUGUGGCAUAUGGAGGCUCCCAGGCUAGGGGGUCAAACGGGAACUACAGCUCAUGGCAGCACAAGAUCCUUAACCCACUGAGCAAGGCCAGGGAUCGAACCUGCAAUCUCAUGGUUCCUAGUUGGAUACAUUUCCACUGCACCAUGAUGGGAACUCCUUUAAUGGCAUUUUGAGGACGUGUUUUUAAAUAUCCUCAAUAAUGGACUAAAGAAUUGGUGGCCCAGCAGUUAAGGGAUCUGUCAUUGUCACUGCUGUGACUCGGGUUUGAUCCCUGGCCUGGGAACUUCCACUUGCCCACAACGUGGCCAAGAUAAAGGAAGAAGUACUUAUUUUUUAAUGGUGGCCAUGAUGUGGAAAGGCAACCAGCAAGAGUUUUCUUUUUAGGGCUGCACCUGCAGCAUAUGGAAGUUCCCAGGCUAGGGGUCGAAUUGGAGCUGUAGCUGCCAGCCUACGCCUCAGCCACAGCAACGCCACAUCCAAGCCAUGUCUUCAACCUACACGACAACUCACAGAAAUGCUGGAUCUUUAACCCACUGACGGGGGCCAGGGAUCGAACCACAUCCUCAUGGAUAUUAGUUGGCUUCGUUACUGCUGAGCCACAGUGGGAACUCACAGCCAGAGCUCUUUCUGAGUAGUGGUCAGCGUCACUGGAAUAAAUCAAAACCUGCACAUGGCA